rnacentral:ncRNA from 1 species
UUUGUGACUAUGAUGAGAAGAGUAGAUAAGUAUUUCUUUCAAAGAGAGCUCCGGAAGCUGGGAAGGAGUAAAGAAGACUUAUUGAACCAGGUCUCUGAGUUUCGCUAUAAGCCUAGUAACUAGGGAAAAGCGACGGCGGCUACCGAUAAUAGCUAAAGUAAUUAUUUACUUAAUGAGGCUUAUAUGGAGACGUAUAAGCAAAUUAAGGUGGUACCACGAGUUCUAGCUCUCGUCCUUAAG